rnacentral:tRNA from 1 species
GGGCGGGUAGCUCAGCUGGAUAGAGUGUCGGCCUACGAAGCCGAAGGCCGCGGGUUCGAAUCCCGCCUCGCCC